AGAAGGGACAGCUGAGUAACAAAGUCCUGGUAUGCAGACGACGGUACUAUUACACUGACAAGAGUGUAAUGAUGAUGGAGACACAAGCCAGAGAAAGGGGGGACCAAACACCAGGCCAGAAUUCUGCAUGAGUCAGAUCCAGUGGGUGCAGAUCAUCAUACAGAUGGUUCAAGUGUGGAUCCACCUAAUAUUCAAGAUUUUCUGUCCUGGGACACUCGGCUAACCAUCAAGAAAGAACACACUCCAGUGGGCAUCCUUUAUCCAUCCAGACCCUCAUACAGAUGGUUGGAGUUUUGAUUCACCUAAAGUACCAUGCAAGAGCACUCAUUUUUCCUCUUGAGACCAUGGUGUGACCUGCAAGGUCGAAUGGAGACUGUAAGCGAGACAAUCUUGGAGUCACCUGCAUUCACUGGUCCAGUUGUUAGUCCAAUUACAGAUGGAGAUUAUAGAAGAGGAUGAUGUCUUUUCUCCAACAUCUUUCUAGACUGAUAAAAGAUCUAGACAGGCUCAAACAAAAGUUAACAGAGGGGCUUAUAUAGAGAAUGGUGAGCAGCUACACAUAAAAGAAGAACAUGGAGAAUCUGCCCAGAGGUGUUAACCAGCAAUGCAGCUAUACAACUAAAGUGAUGCAGGUGGAAACAAUGUGUAAUGCAGCUGCUGCAGAUGAAGAAUCCGUCCGUCUAGCACUGAAGGAGACGCGGAAAAUCGGGAAAAGAUGUUCUUUGCCCGAGGAAGCAUUUGAUUAAUUUAAAGAUAUUGUGUUUCUUUGUAUGUUAUAGAAAAACGUUGCUUUUUGCAUACACUCGUGUAAAUAUGCAUCUUAUGAAUGUUUUCCUUUGUCUAAUUUUAAUAAAUUUUACGCAAUCAA